rnacentral:rRNA from 1 species
UGGGGAAUAUUGCACAAUGGAGGGAACUCUGAUGCAGCGACGCCGCGUGAACGAAGAAGGCUUUCGAGUCGUAAAGUUCUUUUAUAUGGGAAGAUAAUGACGGUACCAUAAGAAAAAGCCCCGGCUAACUACGUGCCAGCAGCCGCGGUAAUACGUAGGGGGCUAGCGUUGUCCGGAAUCACUGGGCGUAAAGGGUUCGCAGGCGGAAAUGCAAGUCAGGUGUAAAAGGCAGUAGCUUAACUACUGUAAGCAUUUGAAACUGCAUAUCUUGAGAAGAGUAGAGGUAAGUGGAAUUUUUAGUGUAGCGGUGAAAUGCGUAGAUAUUAAAAAGAAUACCGGUGGCGAAGGCGACUUACUGGGCACAAUCUGACGCUGAGGAACGAAAGCGUGGGGAGCAAACAGG